rnacentral:rRNA from 1 species
AUUUCGUUGUCCCACGCCGCUGCUUCGCCGCUCAGCCAAAAAAAUGGCCAGUUUUGGCCCGUUUUUGGCCAGUUUUGGCCAGUUUUUUGGCAGUUCUUGUGUGCCGCGGGCGAACAACGUGGCGGAGCAAAACGUCAGCCAUCUCAGCACCCUGGAACCCCGGGUGGCACAGGGCUGGAUGGGGCAUUCGUAUAGCAGGGGCGGUGCUGCCUCUCCGCUUCGCUUCGCUGUCCGCCGCUUCGCCACUGCCGCUCAGCCAAAAAUGGCCAGUUUUGGCCCGUUUUUGGGCUGUUUUGGCCAGUUUUUGGGCAGUUCUUGCGUGCCCGGCGAACGGCGUGGCGGAGCAAAACGUCAGCCAUCUCAGCACCCUGGAACCCCCGGUGGCACAGGGCUGGAUGGGGCGUUCGUAUAGCAGGGACGGUGCUGCCUCUCUUCGCUUCGCUGUCCGCCUUUCGCUUUCGCUCAGCCAAAAAUGGCUAGUUUUGACCCGUUUUUGGGCUGUUUUGGCCAGUUUUUGGGCAGUUCUUGCGUCUUCGCGGGCGAACGACGUGAGCGGAGCAAAACGACAGCUAUCUCAGCACCCUGGAACCCCCCGGGUGGCACAGGGCUGGAUGGGGCGUUCGUAUAGCAUGGACGGUGCUGCCUCUCGCUUCGCUCGCUCAGCCAAAAAUGGGGGCUCGAAGACGAUCGGAUACCGUCCUAUUCUCAACCAUAAACGAUGCCGACCAGGGAUCGACGGAUGUUGCUCUUAGGACUCCGCCGGCACGUUAUGAGAAAUCAAAGUCUUUGGGUUCCGGGGGAGUAUGGUCGCAAGGCUGAAACUUAAAGGAAUUGACGGAAGGGCACCACUGGAGUGGAGCCCAACGGCUUAAUUUGACUCAACACGGGAAAAAUUACCAGGUCCGCAUUACAUAGCAAGGAUUGACGAGGCUGAGAGCUCUUUCUUGAUUCUAUGGGUGGUGGUGCAUGGCCGUUCUUAGUUGGUGGAGCCGAUUUGUCCGGUUAAUUCCGAUAACGAACGAGACCUCAGCCUGCUAACUAACUAGCUACGGAGGAGGCAUCCCCCCGGCCAGCUUCUUAGAGGGACUAUGGCCAUUUAGGCCACGGAAGUUUGAGGCAAUAACAGGUCUGUGAUGCCCUUAGAUGUUCUGGGCGCGCGCGAGCUACACUGUUGUAUUCAACGAGUCUAUAGCCUUGGCCGACGGGCCCGGGUAAUCUUUGAAAAUUUCAUCGUGAUGGGGAUAGAUCAUUGCAAUUGUUGGUCUUCAACGAGGAAUUCCUAGUAAGCGCCGAGUCAUCAGCUCGCGUUGACUACGCCCCUGCCCUUUGUACACACCGCCCGUCGCUCCUACCGAUUGAAUGGUCCGGUGAAGUGUUCGGAUCAAGGCGACGGGGCGGUUCGCCGCCCGUGACGUCGCGAGAAGUCCACUGAACCUUAUCAUUUAGAGGAAGGAGAAGUUUUAACAAGGUUUCCGUAGGUGAUCCUCUGGAAG